CCUCGGGGGCUCCCCGUGCUGUCCUCUGCUGGGUGGUGAUUGGGGUGAGCCUCAACUCAGUGAGGAUUAACUUUGGACAGGUUGUGAGGUCUGUGGCACGUGCAGUUGGUAGAGUCCUUUGUCAGCUGCCCCACUGCAAGAGCUUUGGUGAAGGGUCGAGGGAGGGAGUGGGCGAAGCAUCCGCUGCGUGUGUAACUCCGGAAGCCUUGCGCACUUGGUAGAUCUGUGCCUGUAAUUUCGAGGUAAACCGUGGUCUGUGUCUCUCGGACCUGAAGGAAGGAGAGGUGUACGCAAGCGAAGGAAAAUGCUGGAAAGUACCUAGUUAAUUUUAACCUUUGAUGACGAAUUGCUCUGAGGAGGAGGGUGUGUGCCUUGGGCCCAGUUUAUUAGAUCUUCCUCAGAGAAGUCCAAUAUGGAUAGGAACUCCAAAUUCAGAGUGUUUCGGUGGAAAAUGGUCCCCCUGGAACUCACUGGAACAAGAGUCAAAAGAAGGUCACUGAAAUAAAGGGGAGGACAAGUUUGUGAAAGUGAUGCAAAAGCGGAAGAGACGAGCUUUCCACAUGCUUGGCUACCUCU
rnacentral:lncRNA from 1 species